rnacentral:tRNA from 1 species
GUUUAAGUAUUCAAAUAUGAUAUUAAAUUGCAAAUUUAAAGGUAAAUUUUUAUUUCUUAAACU